CGCGUUUCUAUUUAUAUAACUAAUCCACUAUUUGCCCAAUUUAGUUUUGUAAAAAAACUGUGGUUAUGAUAUAUAAAAGAUAAAAACUACAUUAUCCGAAUUCACAAAUACUUGAACACUCCUAAUAUUUUAUAUAUAUAUAACUUACAUGUUUGGCUAUGAGGUAACAGGAAGGGGUCUAAUGGGAAGAGUGGUUCCGGGAUGCGCCGAGACAUUCAUGGAAUCACCUGGGUUUGGAGAAAGUCAAGGCCAGGGUCAGGGUCAGAGUCAAGGGUUCUAUGACAUGCACCAGAAAGUAGAGCACCUACGGUGUGGUGACACCAUUGCUACACCAUCUGGUGUGGCUCAAUGGUUCUACAACAAUGGAAAUGAGCCUCUCAUUCUUGUUGCAGCUGCUGAUCUCGCCAA
rnacentral:lncRNA from 1 species